rnacentral:rRNA from 1 species
UACGUAGGGUCCGAGCGUUGUCCGGAAUUACUGGGCGUAAAGAGCUCGUAGGUGGUUUGUCGCGUUGUUCGUGAAAACUCACAGCUUAACUGUGGGCGUGCGGGCGAUACGGGCAGACUAGAGUACUGCAGGGAAGACUGGAAUUCCUGGUGUAGCGGUGGAAUGCGCAGAUAUCAGGAGGAACACCAACGGCGAAGGCAGCUCUCUGGGACGUUACUGACGCUGAGACGCGAAAGCGUGGGGAGCAAACAGG